UGGGGAAUAUUGCACAAUGGGGGAAACCCUGAUGCAGCAACGCCGCGUGAGUGAUGACGGUCUUCGGAUUGUAAAGCUCUGUCUUCAGGGACGAUAAUGACGGUACCUGAGGAGGAAGCCACAGCUAACUACGUGCCAGCAGCCGCGGUAAUACGUAGGUGGCAAGCGUUGUCCGGAUUUACUGGGCGUAAAGGGAGCGUAGGUGGAUAUUUAAGUGGGAUGUGAAAUACUUGGGCUUAACCUGGGUGCUGCAUUCCAAACUGGAUAUCUAGAGUGCAGGAGGGGAAAGUAGAAUUCCUAGUGUAGCGGUGAAAUGCGUAGAGAUUAGGAAGAAUACCAGUGGCGAAGGCGACUUUCUGGACUGUAACUGACACUGAGGCUCGAAAGCGUGGGGAGCAAACA
rnacentral:rRNA from 1 species